GUCAUAUAAAACUGACCGCCAUCCCAACUAAACACACCCGGGAAGGGUACACUGAAUGCAUCAGGGUUAGUGUUUGGAUGAAGACUAGAGACUUCCUUCCAAAUUGGUCCCGGAGGAUUGAAGUGGGACUCCGCUCAAAGUAUGAAAUGAUCCUCAGACCUACUUGGAGGGGACGUUCAAACCAGCCUCAGAUCUACAAUGC